rnacentral:rRNA from 1 species
UUUUUUAUAAAAAUAAUUUAUUUAUUUAAAGUUUUAGUAUUUAUUAAAAAUUAAUUUUUAGAUUUAUAGUUUAAUAGUAUUGUGAAAGAAUUAAUUAAAUUUUUAAAAGAAUUUUUUUAGUACCUUUUGUAUCAGGGUUGAUUAAAAUUUUUAAUUUUUUUUUAAUUUCUCAAAAUUUAUAGAGUUAAUUUUAUUAUUAAUUUAUUGUGUUAUAAAUAUUUAUAAAAUAAUAUUAGUUUUGAAAUUUAAUUCGUUAUAUUAUAUUUAGUUAUUUAAGAUUUAAAUUUAAUUUAAAAUUUUAAAAGUUGUAUUAAUUUAAUUGAUUAAUAUUUUAAAUUUAAAUUAUUUUAGGGAUAAGCUUAAAAUUUUUAUAAAAUAAUUUAUUUAUUUAAUAAUUUAUAGGAAUAGAAAUUUUUAUUUAAAGUUUGUAAAAAUUUAUUAUUUAUAUUUAUUUAAUUUAUUAUAAUUUUAUUUAUUUUUUUUAUUAAAUUUUAUUAAUUAAUAUUUAAUUAAUAGUAAUAAUGAUUAAAUUAGUAUAAUUAAAAUUUAUAAAUUAUGAAUUCGGCAAAAAUUAUUUUCAUCUGUUUAACAAAAACAUUGUAUUAAGUUUUAUUUAAUAUAGGAUCUGCUCAAUGAUUUAUUAAAUAGCUGCAGUAUUUUGACUGUGCAAAGGUAGCAUAAUAAUUAGUCUUUUAAUUGAGGACUUGUAUGAAAGAUUUGAUGAGAAAUAAACUUUAUUAUUUAUAUAAUUAAAAUUUUAUUUUUAAGUAAAAAAGCUUAAAUUAUUUAAAGGGACGAUAAGACCCUAUAAAACUUUAUAAAUUAUAAUUUUAAUUUUUUUGGAUUAAUAAAUAUUUUAUUUUUAUAAUUUAUUUUAUUGGGGUGAUAAAAAAAAUUGAUUAACUUUUUUUAAAAUUUAACAUUAUUUAAUGAUUUAUUGAAUUAAAAUUUUUAAUUAAAGGAAAAAGUUACUUUAGGGAUAACAGCGUAAUUAAUUUUUUAAGUUCAAAUUUAAAAAUUAGUUUGCGACCUCGAUGUUGAAUUAAGAUUAAUCUUAGGUGCAAAAUUUUAAGUUUUAGGUCUGUUCGACCUUUAAA